CAACACAGAGUUCUUUUUUCACGCGACCUCUCGUCUGGUUUUCUUUGCUGCUAAGAAAGAAAGAAAGAGUCAUCCCUAGAUUCAGGCGCCUCCCCCCUUCCGCGUCUGCAUCGCACGCCGCGUCCUUGCGUCGCGGCCUCUGAUACUUCUCCUGCAUCUUCUCCUCCCCGUUCCUCUCUAUAUCCUUGCGUCGUCCCCUCCUACUUGACCGCCGCUCUCCUACUCUGAAGGAGCAGAGGGUUGUCGCUGUUCCUCAGACGCCACAAGGACGGGUGGAGGAAAUCCGAUGCCGACGGGCCGCUCAUGCGGUCAUGACGGUAUCCUAUAUCUUGGAGCCGCUGGGGUCACUUUCGCCAUAUAGAGACGGGUCGGCAGGGGUGCUGGUGUUGGCAUCAGGAAGGGGAAGGCGUCGCCGACGAGGAUGUGGAGGAGGACGAGGUCAAGCCGGGUCAGUGAAGGGUGCGGAAGAAGAUCAAUGCUAAUAUGGAUGCACGCUACAGGAGCAGAACAUGCGUCGUGUGAGCCUUGAGUUCUUUGAUUGAUCCGCCGUACGUGCCCUUGGUCGGCUGCGCGCCGCAGCUAGUCAAAUUUGAGACUAUUCGAGUGCUAAAUUUGUACUGACUGAGAAUUUGGGGAGGGGUGUGUGCUUGUGCGGCCGCCCUGCCUACUGCCACUGCUACAUGCACAUCAGAGGGCGGAGCCUUCACAUGAGCUUAAUGAACUGCGUGUUGGUUGGGCUUGUGUCACCAAAGCAUAUACUGCGCUCCUUCUUGUAGUAUUUUCAGGUUGAAUACACAGAGGAGAAGCUACAAAAAUAUAUUAAAGAAGACGACGACAAUCUCCCACAAAGAAUGCAAAUGGUACCGUGAGCUGUGACUCCCGAUUCAUCCUAACCGACACGAGGGCGACCAUCACGACCAACUGGUCAUGGUUCCGUCAUCACGCAAACAUCUCUUAGGGUGACAUAUGUGCUUUCCACUUCAAGCGCAUGGAAGGGCGCAAACUUUCUCUCACCGUCCAUCGUCUGUAGAUGCAAUGUAGUGAGCGUCUUCAAUUGUCUAUACAUGUCUGACUACGUUUUUAACUUAUCUCUAAGACUUGGUAUCUCCAUGUUGUGAUGGUAUGACGAACCAUGUCUCUCUUUUCGACAUUGACUGUCUUUUGAAGCAUCUUAGGCUUCGAUUGAAAUCAACGCCUGUGCUCUGCAUCCAAUAUCUAAGAUCAUGAUCUAGCUGAUAA